rnacentral:lncRNA from 1 species
GUUAAAUGUUUCCAAUUUUAAAUUUCACAUAUUUGAAACACUGAUUUUUAAACUAUAAUUUCCCUUUACAUUUGCUUCUUAGAAAUGCAUCAUAUCAUGUCUGUGACACAAGAAGUAUUUACUGAGAUGCAAGUUGAAUUUGUUAACUUGUGUGUUAUGAUUCUAGGCUAAAAUUUCCUCUCUUAGCAAAUUCAGAAUUGAGCAGUGAAUGUUUAAUUUGGUGACACAUGUAAGUCUGGUUUAUAUUCUUACACCAAAGAAUAUUCAGUUUUAUGCUGAACAGAAAGGAAACUCCAAGAUAUGAAAAAUGCAUGCACCUACCGUAAAAAAUGGUCUUCAAAAUCUUGCUAUUAUGUCAUCCUUGAACUGAUAUUUUUAAUGUGACUAUGUUUGGUAACCAUAAUAUUGAAGAAAUUUGGAAAAAAGACUUUCUUUUUGCAGGGGAUGUGGGAGCACAAGUUUACUUGCACCUGGCAAAUGAUCUUAUUUUACAUGGGUUCAACAGUCUGUGAGGGGGCAGAUGUCAUGACAACAAAAGAAGGACAAAUUAGACUUAGUUUAAAAAGGAACAUGUGAGAAUAAAUACAACACAUGAUUAUUAGCCUAUAAAAGUGCUAUAAGGAAUAAAAACUUGACAUAAAGGAGAAAGCAGGGUGGUGGUAUAUAACAUAGAAACAGGGAAGGAUGACCGAGUGGCAAGAUUUUGUCCAGUGAAAAAGUUAUCUGCCGAAAUUUCAACAUCUCAUGAAAUUCUUUACAGGAUUGAAUUCUCACCCACUGUCUUCACCCAACCCAGCAGAGAAGAAGGCUUGUGACUGUGUAAGGUGAAAAUGGAUAUACCAUUUCUGGGAAGAGAAAAGAAGCCAAUUAAAAGUGGGGCAUGUCAUUACACUGACCAGAAAUGAACGUACCUUUUUAGAAAUAAAGAAUCUGUAUAUUCCUGUGGCUCUGAUUUAUUCCUAAGUUUCUUGUCUCACUCAUUAAGGACACUUCUUCAGCCACUAGUGUUUGUGUAUAUAUAUUGGUGUGCAUGGCCAUGUGUAUCCCAGGAUAUAAAUAUAAAGAAUUUAAUAUUCUUUUUCACUACAAAUGUAGUUUAUAUUUCAAUAUAAAACCUAAUUUGACUAAGAAGCCAGGAUUUAUGCAUUAUCUAAUUUCUCUUGCUAUAGUAGAAAUAACUAAAUUCAGGUUGUAGUUUUAAUAUGUUCCUCCUUCUUACAAUACCUUUCUUCAAAUGAUUGUGUGUCAAUAAAAG